rnacentral:lncRNA from 10 species
UCAGAUGGAAAUGCAGAAAUCACCCGUCUUCUGCGUCGCUCACGGUGGGAGCUGUAGACUGGAGCUGUUCCUAUUCGGCCAUCUUGGCUCCUCCGCAUUUGUUUUUAUGGUGGUUUUGUAUUGUUUUUAUAGAGCUGCCCUCACAUGCUUCAGCAACAUUAGAUGUUCUGGAGACUGGAAAGUCCAAGAUCAUGGUGCCUGAGGAUUCAGUGUCUGCUAAGAAGGUCAGAAGAUGCCUGGAAUGGACUAUGGCAAUAGAGUAUCGGGCUUGAAUUCGUCAAAAGCUGCAUGCUGGAGUCUGUCAGGGAGAAGGAUGCAUCAAAGUUUCCCUCCAAAAGACGAUUGAAA